rnacentral:rRNA from 1 species
UACGGAGGGAGCUAGCGUUGUUCGGAAGUACUGGGCGUAAAGCGCACGUAGGCGGCUAUUCAAGUCAGAGGUGAAAGCCCGGGGCUCAACCCCGGAACUGCCUUUGAAACUAGGUAGCUAGAAUCUUGGAGAGGUCAGUGGAAUUCCGAGUGUAGAGGUGAAAUUCGUAGAUAUUCGGAAGAACACCAGUGGCGAAGGCGACUUACUGGACACAUAUUGACGCUGAGGUGCGAAAGCGUGGGGAGCAAACAGG